ensembl:lncRNA
AUGGAACCAAUGGAAACCGGUGGAAUGUGUGCAUUUGAUACACUAGGUGUCAAUAUUGAGAACAGCUCAAUAAAGCUCUUACACGCAAAUUCCCAUAUCAUCAUGUUUGCCGGAAAAGCCGUCCCAGACACCUACAUUCACAAAAUCCCUGAAAGAGGCUCUUCUAUCAAUCUCAUUUUCUUGAUGAGAAAAUUGAGCUUCAGAGAUCAAGCAGUGUCCCCAAAGACAUACAGCUGGUAAGUGGUAAAGUCGGAUUUUAAAGUCUAGUAUUUGCAGCCCCAAAGCCCAUGGCGCUUUCACUUUAAUCUCUGCCUCCAUCAAGUCAGUCGCUAGUAAUAAAGCAGAGAUUAAGCAUUCUCAGGAUGAGAAAAUAGGAAGGCAACCAGGGUGUUCUAUGGGUGAGAUCCCUUUUAUGCUCUCCCUGGCUCACUUAAAGCCCUGGGAUUAUAGCCGUGGUUCUUUUCCUUGUUAUCUCAUUCAGCGCUGGUCACUAAAUGUUUGUUUUCUUUUAUUAGCCCACUGUAUGCUUAGUAGGGGCUCGGGUUUCCUCGUUGUGUUUGCCUAGCUUCUUGUAAGCUUGAGCCAUCUGUUCCUCUCAAGGUAGACUGGAUGACAUUUUUCCCCGAGAUUUCCCUACUUUGUAUUUUAUAAGGGAAGCCAAACUAGCUGAUUCGUUGUCCUUCUCUUUCUCUUCUUCCUCCUCCUCCUCAAUAUGACAACACUGAGAAGCAGCCUUAAAGAACAAUGCCAUGGCCAUAUCCAUACACUUGAAAUUAUGUCAUGUUUGGAUUGAAAACUAUGAUCAAAGUGAAGCAGUGGAACUUUGCAGUUCAUCAAACAGGAUGUUUUGAGCCCAAAACCCACAAAUGUGUUUCAGCACACUCGAGCUGUGUAAUCCUGGGUGAGUUAUUAAACUGCUAUCUGCAAUUUUCUCACCUGUCAAGUGGGGCUAAUAAUAGACUUAUUAUUUCGUGUGGGAGGAUUUGCUGAUCUAUAUAUAAUGGUUUUAGUACAGUGUUAUAAACUAGCAAACACAUACUUAAAGUUAUCUAUUAAUGCAUGGAAAUUAGAGGUGAAUCAAGUUGGGCUCUUCAUGUACAAAAUACUGUAUGACGUUUAGAGCAAUUCAACCUGAGAUAAGCUGAGUUCCAGAGGCAGACAGGUCUAAGAGAGCUUCUGACAUGAACACUGCAGACACCAGCAUCCAUUCAUUCCAAAUAUUAAUAUGAUCUUCCCUCAAAGGCUGUGAUAUAGUUGGAUUUCUUGAGACCUCUUCUUAGAGAGACAAGAACUUUGUUACUUAAAUGACCAAUCAUGAUCAGCUCAAAAACAGCACCUAUAGUUCUGUGGUAAACCAAACUCUGAAUCUGAACGAUCAUUCAUCAGGCAAGUCUAGAAAGAGCUUUCAUUUUGGAAUUUAAGGACAAAUUAUUGAAUUGGCCUCGGAUAUGGGCGACUGGUCCCUCAAUUCAAUAGGGCUGGCUGUGUAAACAUAAAACAUGCUUUCAGGAUGUUUGCCCAGGGUGGGAUAAAAAGGGUAACCAUUAAUCCAACAAUUCCUAUCCCCCAGUGCUCAAAUUUUUACCCUAAAAUGUGGUAGCUCCUCGCACUUCCAAGUUUUAUAUCUAUGAACACAUUGUGACAGGGAGAAAGAAGUCUUGGGUCUGGACACAUACAGAAAAUGUAUAAAGAAAUUCUGCAAAUUAAUAAACAAACAUCAAACAACCCUACAGAAAACUGGGCUAAAUACAUAGGCAUUUCACAAAAGGAGAUAUUUAAAUGGCUAGUAAUCAUACGAAAAAGUGUUCAUUAUUGUCAUCACGAAAAUGGAAAUUAAAGCACAAAGAGAUAUGACUACACAACCACCAGAAUGCCAAAAUUAAAGAUUGAAGAAGUUAUAUAUUGGGGUGGGUGGAUGUAGGGCAACUGAAACUCUCCUAUACCAGCGGUGGGGAGUGCAAAUUGGUAAAAUCUUUUUAGAAAACUGACCACAUAUUCUAAAUGGAAACUAUUCUAUUACUAUUCUAAAUUGUACCUAUUCUAUUACCCAGAAAUUAUAUGUCUAAGUAUGCAUCCAAGAGAAAUGCAUAUAUAAUUCACAAAAAAAACACAUAUAACAGUGUUUGUGGUAGGAUUGCUGUCAUUGUCCUAAGCUAGGUUUCUCAACCACAGCACUACUGACACAUUGAAUUGAAUAAUUUUUUGUUGUGGGGGAUUUCCUGGUGCUUUAUAGGAUGAUUAGCAUUGUCUUGGCCUCUAUUCACUAGGUUCCAGUAGCCUCCCCCACUCAUUACAACCCAACAUGUUUCCAGACUUUGCCCAAUAUCCCCUGGGGGCCGAAAAAUCAUCCCCGGUUGAAAACCGUUGUUCUAAUUUCAAAAGAAUCCAAAAACCUAUCAACAAUAGUAUGAAAAAAUAAUGGGAAGCAUGUUCAUUCAUUGCAAU